UACAGAGGUCUCAAGCGUUGUUCGGAUUCAUUGGGCGUAAAGGGUGCGUAGGUGGCGCCGUAAGUCGGGUGUGAAAUUUCGGAGCUUAACUCCGAAACUGCAUUCGAUACUGCGGUGCUUGAGGACUGGAGAGGAGACUGGAAUUCAAGGUGUAGCAGUGAAAUGCGUAGAGAUCAUGAGGAAGACCAGUGGCGAAGGCGGGUCUCUGGACAGUUCCUGACACUGAGGCACGAAGGCCAGGGGAGCAAACGGG
rnacentral:rRNA from 1 species